rnacentral:rRNA from 1 species
UACGGAGGGUGCAAGCGUUAUCCGGAUUCACUGGGUUUAAAGGGUGCGUAGGUGGGAAUGUAAGUCAGUGGUGAAAUCUCCGUGCUUAACAUGGAAACUGCCAUUGAUACUAUGUUUCUUGAAUUUUCUGGAGGUCAGCGGAAUAUGUCAUGUAGCGGUGAAAUGCUUAGAUAUGUCAUAGAACACCGAUAGCGAAGGCAGCUCACUAGGCCUGGAUUGACGCUCAGGGACGAAAGCGUGGGGAGCAAACAGG